CCUACGGGCGGCAGCAGUGAGGAAUAUUGGGCAAUGGGCUUACGCCUGAACCAGCCACGUCGCGUGAGGGAAGACUGCCCUAUGGGUUGUAAACCCUUUUUGUCAGGGAGCAACGCCGGCUACGUGUAGCCGGACUGAGAGUACCUGAAGAAAAAGCAUCGGCUAACUCCGUGCCAGCAGCCGCGGUAAUACGGAGGAUGCGAGCGUUAUCCGGAUUUAUUGGGUUUACGGGGUGCGUAGGCGGAAUGCAAAGUCAGCGGUAAAAUCGCGGGGCUCAACCUCGCACUGCCGUUGAAACUGGCGAUCUUGAGUGGGCGAGAGGUAUGCGGAA
rnacentral:rRNA from 1 species